CACGUAGGGGACGAGCGUUGUCCGGAUUUAUUGGGCGUAAAGGGCGCGUAGGCGGCCUGGCAAGUGGAAGGUGAAAUCCCUCGGCUUAACCGAGGAACUGCCUUCCAAACUGCUUGGCUUGAGUCCGGGAGAGGCGAGUGGAAUUCCCAGUGUAGCGGUGAAAUGCGUAGAUAUUGGGAGGAACACCAGUGGCGAAGGCGGCUCGCUGGACCGGAACUGACGCUGAGGCGCGAAAGCGUGGGGAGCAAACAGG
rnacentral:rRNA from 1 species